GUAGGUGAACCUGCGGAAGGAUCAUUACAGAGAACAUGCCCUCCAGGGUAGAUCUCCCACCCCAUGUUUACCUAUCUUUGUUGCUUUGGCAGGCCUGUCUCACGACUACCGGCUUUAGCUGGCCAGCGCCUGCCAGAGGAUUUCAAACUCUUAAUUAGUGUUGUCUGAGUACUAGGAAAAAUAUUUAAAACUUUCAACAACGGAUCUCUUGGUUCUGGCAUCGAUGAAGAACGCAGCAUCUGACUGACUU
rnacentral:misc_RNA from 1 species